UUUUAUUUCAUGUAAUAAAUUACUUACGACUACGGCAUUAUUCUUUUGGCAAAUCUGGUUCAACUCUCGAUCUCGACCAAAUCCAAAAAUGCAGCACUUUAUAUAAAAAACGACCAGACUCUGUCUGUACCGGUAGAUUGAAAUUCUCGCCGGAGAUUCUCCACCGCGAUGUGGUCUACCGUCCGAUCAUCCUUCUCUCUCAUCGCAUUCUUCCGCAUACUCCUGCUUCUCCAGCCUGCCUUCGCCUCCGAUUACGAUCAUAAGGUAACAAUAAGAAUUCAUUUGUAAAACCCUAAUUUUAUCUGGCUGUCACUUCGCAUUAAUUGAAUUGACGUAAAAGUACGCAG
rnacentral:lncRNA from 1 species